CCGUCUUAAAAUCUGUAAUACAGAAACAAAGCAGGAAGAAGUGUGACACAAAACACCAGUUUUAAGAAACUCAGAUUUCUAUCAGGGGUUUUCACACGUGCAGAAAACUCCUGAUAUUUUCAGGAGCAGCUGCAUGUGUGAACGCAAACAGCUGAAUAGUGAGCUGAUGUGAGAACGCAGCAGGAUAUAAUCAGGAACUUCCAGAAAUCUAGUUUAUAAAAUGCACAGCGUUAUAUUGAGAAGGAAACAAAUAUGUUCUUGUGAAAAAAGAAAACAAUGAAAGGUGUUUUACUUUUACUGACUCGAAGAAAAAGAGGAUUUUCUGGCACAAACUUCACCAGCAACACUUGUAGUAAGAAGAUCAACUUUAUUAACAAUUUAGACCGAUGCUUUCGGCUCGUGGCCUUCAUCAGGGUCAUCAAGAAACAGAUUAACAAACAUCAUUUAAAUAGGGUAGGUACACAAUUGAAGGAAAGGUAAAAAAAAUUCAAA